rnacentral:rRNA from 1 species
GAUGAACGCUGGCGGCGUGCCUAACACAUGCAAGUCGAGCGAUCUUCUUCGGAAGAGAGCGGCGGACGGGUGAGUAACGCGUGGGUAACCUGCCUCAUACACAUGGAUAACAUACCGAAAGGUAUGCUAAUACAAGAUGAUAUAAGAGAUUCGCAUGGAUUUCUUAUCAAAGCUCCGGCGGUAUGAGAUGGACCCGCGUCUGAUUAGCUAGUUGGUAAGGUAACGGCUUACCAAGGCGACGAUCAGUAGCCGACCUGAGAGGGUGAUCGGCCACGUUGGAACUGAGACACGGUCCAAACUCCUACGGGAGGCAGCGGUGGGGAAUAUUGCACAAUGGGCGAAAGCCUGAUGCAGCAACGCCGCGUGAGCGAUGAAGGCCUUCGGGUCGUAAAGCUCUGUCCUCAAGGAAGAUAAUGACGGUACUUGAGGAGGAAGCCCCGGCUAACUACGUGCCAGCCGCCGCCGUAAGAC